rnacentral:tRNA from 1 species
GCACAGGUAGCAAAGCCCGGUUACGCGUACGACUGCAGAUCGUAUUUACGUGGGUUCGAAUCCCACCCUGUGCUCCA